GUCAUCGCCCGACGGUUGAGGAAGCCUUUCACGUUCGGUAGGCUGAAUUAAAAGACAUACCUGCGAGACGGCGUGAGCUUACGAAAAACAAACAGUGAGUAAUAAAACAACAAUCCGAGCCAUGUCACACCGCGGGGGAAAAAAGAAAGAAAGAAAAAAAAAACCCACAGGCUUUCAUUAGCUUUGUCAAAACAGAAACCAGGAAUCAAGGGGCAUUUUUAUAUGAACUGGUUAGACGUCUUCAGCCGAGCUGAGUCAUUUCUUAUGCCAUAGUGAGAAACCCAACAGCGUUCAAUAUUUGUACAUGUUUGUUCCUAAAAAUCAGACGUGCUGUUUCUAAAGCGAAAUAUCUCUGGAAUAUAUUCCUCCUGGGCUGGAAAACCUGCUCAGUGUUUCCAGAGGCCGAACAAGAGGCCGAUGCUGUGACAUCAUUUCUGUCGCAGUGCGAGGCGGUCUCAUGCUCCACCCUGUCGGUCAUCGUGCUUUACGAUGGGAGAAGAUGUGGCCUCUACUUUUCCUACGUCUUCGGGAAAGCGCAUUAUAGGACAUAUUUUACUGUUCAGUGAUGUCACUUGCAGGCAGAAGUGACACAGUUGGACCAUUACACAAUCUGCUCCUGAAUCUGGGUCAGCAGAGGCGUCGUAUUUUUACUCACUGUACACACAGUGGGUCCGUGUCCCUCGCCGGUGAUGAAUGGUCCUUGGAGCAGCAGGUUCCAUUGUACCUGCACAUGCAGAAAGGGGGGCCCGGGUCCCUCCUGUGAUCCGGUGUCCCGCUGUCUCAGGUUUCCUUCAGGGAACCCCUCGUAGCCUCCGGUUUGGCAAACAUUAUGCUGGACUUCCUGUCUCUGGCAGAAGUAUGGCUGGAGGCCCUCUCUGGGGACAGAAUGACUAUUGUCCUCGGCUUUUUUGCUUUCCCCUCCUUUCCUUCUGGCUUGCCCGUCCUCGUUCUCUGGACCAGGGACGCCUGCAGGUGAGCGUCAGAAAUGAUGCUCAAAGGCGUGAGG